UACGUAGGGGGCUAGCGUUGUCCGGAUUUAUUGGGCGUAAAGAGCGUGUAGGCGGCCAGGUAGGUCUGGUGUGAAAACUCGAGGCUUAACCUCGAGAUGUCAUCGGAAACCAUUUGGCUAGAGUCCGGAAGAGGAGAGUGGAAUUCCUGGUGUAGCGGUGGAAUGCGCAGAUAUCAGGAAGAACACCCGUGGCGAAGGCGGCUCUCUGGGACGGUACUGACGCUGAGACGCGAAAAGCGUGGGGAGCGAACAGG
rnacentral:rRNA from 1 species